CCUACGGGUGGCAGCAGUGAGGAAUAUUGGUCAAUGGGCGUAAGCCUGAACCAGCCAAGUCGCGUGAAGGAUGAAUGUUCUAUGGAUUGUAAACCUCUUUUAUAAGGGAAUAAAGUGCGGGACGUGUCCCGUUUUGUAUGUACCUUAUGAAUAAGGAUCGGCUAACUCCGUGCCAGCAGCCGCGGUAAUACGGAGGAUCCGAGAGUUAUCCGGAUUUAUUGGGUUUAAAGGGAGCGUAGGCGGCUUGUUAAUGCAGCUGUUAAAGUCUGUGGGUCAACCAUAGAAUUGCGGUUGAAACUGGCAGGCUUGAGUACAUUUGAGGCAGGCGGAAUUCGUGGUGUAGCGGUGAAAUGCUUAGAUAUCACGCAGAACACCGAUUGCGAAGGCAGCCUGCCAAGCCAUGACUGACGCUGAUGCACGAAAGUGUGGGGAUCAAACAGGAUUAGAUACCCUUGUAGUC
rnacentral:rRNA from 1 species